rnacentral:rRNA from 1 species
GACGAACGCUGGCGGCGUGCUUAACACAUGCAAGUCGAACGGAAAGGCCCUGCUUUUGUGGGGUGCUCGAGUGGCGAACGGGUGAGUAACACGUGAGUAACCUGCCCUUGACUUUGGGAUAACAUCAGGAAACUGGGGCUAAUACCGGAUAGGAGCUCCUGCUGCAUGGUGGUGGUUGGAAAGUUUCGGCGGUUGGGGAUGGACUCGCGGCUUAUCAGCUUGUUGGUGGGGUAGUGGCUUACCAAGGCUUUGACGGGUAGCCGGCCUGAGAGGGUGACCGGCCACAUUGGGACUGAGAGACGGCGCAGACGCGUACGGGAGGCAGCAGUGGGGAAUCUUGCACAAUGGGCGGAAGCCUGAUGCAGCAACGCCGCGUGCGGGAUGACGGCCUUCGGGUUGUAAACCGCUUUCGCCUGUGACGAAGCGUGAGUGACGGUAAUGGGUAAAGAAGCACCGGCUAACUACGUG